rnacentral:rRNA from 1 species
GUUGAUAAGGUUAAGUGAAUAAGGGCGCACGGUGGAUGCCUUGGCACUAGGAGCCGAUGAAGGACGGGACUAACACCGAUAUGCUUUGGGGAGCUGUACGUAAGCUAUGAUCCAGAGAUUUCCGAAUGGGGGAACCCAGCAUCUUUUAUAGGAUGUUACGUUUGCGUGAAUACAUAGCGCAUUCGAGGUAGACGCAGAGAACUGAAACAUCUAAGUACCUGCAGGAAGAGAAAGAAAAUUCGAUUCCCUGAGUAGCGGCGAGCGAAACGGGAAAAGCCCAAACCAAUGAGCUUGCUCAUUGGGGUUGUAGGACUCCAAUAUGGUAGUUCUUUCAGAUAGUCGAAUGACUUGGAAAAGUCAGUCAAAGAGGGUAAAAACCCCGUAGAUGAAAUUUGGAAGGCACCUAGGAGGAUCCUGAGUACGGCGGAACACGAGGAAUUCCGUCGGAAUCCGGGAGGACCAUCUCCCAAGGCUAAAUACUCCCUAGUGACCGAUAGUGAACCAGUACCGUGAGGGAAAGGUGAAAAGCACCCCGGAAGGGGAGUGAAAUAGAACCUGAAACCGUGUGCCUACAACAAGUCAAAGCCCGUUAAUGGGUGAUGGCGUGCCUUUUGUAGAAUGAACCGGCGAGUUACGAUUGCAUGCGAGGUUAAGUUGAAGAGACGGAGCCGCAGCGAAAGCGAGUCUGAAUAGGGCGUUUGAGUAUGUAGUCGUAGACCCGAAACCAUGUGAUCUACCCAUGUCCAGGUUGAAGGUGCGGUAAAACGCACUGGAGGACCGAACCCACGUACGUUGAAAAGUGCGGGGAUGAGGUGUGGGUAGCGGAGAAAUUCCAAACGAACUUGGAGAUAGCUGGUUCUCUCCGAAAUAGCUUUAGGGCUAGCCUCGGAAUUGAGAAUGAUGGAGGUAGAGCACUGUUUGGACUAGGGGCCCAUCUCGGGUUACCGAAUUCAGAUAAACUCCGAAUGCCAUUCAUUCAUAUCCGGGAGUCAGACUGUGAGUGAUAAGAUCCAUAGUCGAAAGGGAAACAGCCCAGACCACCAGCUAAGGUCCCAAAAUAUAUGUUAAGUGGAAAAGGAUGUGGGGUUGCACAGACAACUAGGAUGUUGGCUUAGAAGCAGCCACCAUUUAAAGAGUGCGUAAUAGCUCACUAGUCGAGUGACCCUGCGCCGAAAAUGUACCGGGGCUAAACAUAUUACCGAAGCUGUGGAGUACACCUUUAGGUGUAUUGGUAGGAGAGCGUUCUAAGGGCGUCGAAGGCAGAUCGUGAGGACUGCUGGAGCGCUUAGAAGUGAGAAUGCCGGUAUGAGUAGCGAAAGACAGGUGAGAAUCCUGUCCACCGAAUGACUAAGGUUUCCUGGGGAAGGCUCGUCCGCCCAGGGUUAGUCGGGACCUAAGCCGAGGCCGACAGGCGUAGGCGAUGGACAACAGGUUGAUAUUCCUGUACUCGUUGUUUUUGUUUGAGCAAUGGAGGGACGCAGGAGGCUAAGGAAUGCAGACGAUUGGAAAUGUCUGUCUAAGCAGUAAGUCUUGAUAGGAGUCAAAUGCUUCUAUCUGUACGGACAAGCUGUGAUGGGGAGGGAAAUAAUAGUACCGAAGUUCCUGAUGUCACACUGCCGAGAAAAGCUUCUAGUGAGAAAACAACGACCCGUACCGCAAACCGACACAGGUAGUCGAGGAGAGAAUCCUAAGGUGAGCGAGAGAACUCUCGUUAAGGAACUCGGCAAAAUGACCCCGUAACUUCGGGAGAAGGGGUGCUGAUCUAAGAUCAGCCGCAGUGAAUAGGCCCAAGCGACUGUUUAUCAAAAACACAGGUCUCUGCAAAAUCGUAAGAUGAAGUAUAGGGGCUGACGCCUGCCCGGUGCUGGAAGGUUAAGAGGAGUGCUUAGCGUAUGCGAAGGUACGAAUUGAAGCCCCAGUAAACGGCGGCCGUAACUAUAACGGUCCUAAGGUAGCGAAAUUCCUUGUCGGGUAAGUUCCG